rnacentral:lncRNA from 1 species
UGAUUUAUAAGAUAGGACAUCACAGCCCCAUCAGUCCCCCACUAAUUAAAUCAGUUUCAAAAAAAAUACAUUCAAGAUGGCGAAACCAGGAGCGUACAGAGCCACAAGUUUCGCGAACGCCAUGGAAUCUCCAGCACACAUAGAAGUUGAAAUAAAAUCUGAACUGAAUCAGUCAAAUUUAACAAAGAUACCACUAUCAACCCCACCAACUAUAGUCAGUGGGCACAAAAUUGCGUUACCAUUAAUGAGCAAUUUGAGAUUUCUAAUCUUUCUGCCAAUCCUCGGCAAAUGUUUUCAACAAACAAAAAUAAAAUUAAUCUGACACUGUAAAUUUCAAGGAGAACAAGGUUCUAAGGUCCUUCUGACAAUUUUAUCAACUGGACUUCAGUACCCUAUAGUUUUUCCCCACCGAUAAAAAGGCCAAAUAUGAGAUACUGCAAACCAAAAAAAAAAAAAAACCAGAGCAGAUCCUAUAUGUUCGUCAGUUGUCCAAGAAGACCCAAGACGGUGCCUGCAAUACACAUUUGUAACUUAGAUACUGCUAAGGAGGCAAUUUAACUAUUCUAUCCACCAAAUUUAGUGUCUACAUACGGCUGGGAAUACAGAGUAACGAAAGUCGCCAAAAUUUAUCAGCAACGUAGCAUUAAAGGAUAAGAAAGGGAAAAAAAUCAAGUUUUGUACCCAACCCACAGCCAUGGUAAGACACGACCACAGAAAGGUUUGGUCAAGUAAAAAUCUUAAAAGAAAUACACAAGUAUAAAGUAUGUAUUUCUCUACAAAAUCAGUUGGCCAAGAUAUAUUCUCGAUAGAAAACCGAGAGAAAGAGCAUAAGGAGGACAAUAGAGUCAAGUAUCAAGAGUUCUACCGCAAAUGGAUGUAUGCCCCUUCCCAAGCUCCACAACUAACUAACAAUAUUACAAAUAUGAGAGCUGUGAAACAAGAAUGGUACUCCAUACGAAUCCCCAAACCUCAAAAUCAAAAAAAAAACUCACUCACCAAAGGCUUAGAUCCAGUUAGUAGGGCCAGUUUUGAAGACUUCUUAAUACACUCUAGGGCUAUCCUCCCCUUCCUUAUAAGCGACCAGUUCUGAAAACAUGCAUCAAUAAUCAUCAUCACACCUAGUUGCAGGAAGGUAAUCUGGAGAAGCUCUCCAAGGAGACUAUACACUCAGGCCCUCAGGAGAAAAAAUAAAUAAUUACAUAGAUAAAGCAAGAUGAUAUCACACCAAGAAAGUACAAAAAAUGACUAGGCUAUGAAAUUGCACUUGGUCACUAUAAUUUUGGUCAUGUAUGGACAAUAAAUAACUAAUCACUGCAUCAGUGUACUUCAAAGAGCAUGAAAACUGAAAAUGUCAACCAGAAGUCGAAAAAAUAGGAACAUGCAGCAAAACAGAAAUUGUCUAGGUACUCUAGAAAAAAAUCUCCAGUGAAAUGUAAGUAGGAAAAAUGAGGUUCAGAAGCAAUACAAAAUACAAAAAUAAAAUAAAAUAAAUAAAACAAAACAAAACAAAACAAAUUAAUCGUUAAUUUCUGCAAUGCAGAAAACAAGGACAUGAUGAUGUAGAACAUGAUAGAGAAAAGAAAUUAGAGUUAAUUAUAUAAAUAUAUACAUAAUAAAAAAAGUGAUAAGAUGGUCAUCAUGACUUCAACAAUAUGAUAAGUUGGCUCACAUCACAGAUAAAUAAGCAAUAAGCACACCAGACUAUUUUCAGUAGCCUAACCUGUGAAAGGGGAACCUUGAAUUUUUAUUGCACACCACAAGCAUAUUGCUAUAGCUAAUAGAGAAUUAAAAUGACUAUCUAACAACAAAAUUCACCAAUGAAAACUCACGAAAAUUUUCUAAUAUUAAACUUAGAAACUCUGAAAUAAAUAAAAUGAUGUCUAAAUUACUCUGCGGCACUCUGCCCAACCCGUGGGGUAAUUCCCACUUAAACUGAAACCUUCCAAGAAAGAGCAACCCACUCUAGUCCAGCAAUCCACCUGCUCUUCAGAUCACAGGCCACAUGAUAGUAGUUGUCUCUCUCCUACAGCCUCAUGUGGAGCAAAAUAGAGCAAGGUCAAUAAUCACUGCCUUCAGCCUCUCUCAUACAAACUGUAAAAAUAUCGGCGGAUAUUCAAGGUAGCACAAGAGAGAGGAUGGGCACAGGAUUAGGUUAGAAUUUCGUCCAUUUAGAGAACCACGCAUUGUUUAAAUUUAUAAAAGGUUAAAGGUUGUACCUAAUGCACAAGGCUCUAGCUUAUAUAAAAUUCUCACUUACGAAAAAGGGAUGCAGUUCAUAUAUAUAAGAAACAUAUAACAUUCUCUUUCCAUUAUAUCUUUUUUCUGAGGUAAAGUCGAGGAUUCAUUGGAGUGACCUGAGGGACAGGCUACGUGCACACAAUGUCUGCUAUGAGACUCUAUUAUGACAAAGAAAUAACAAAAUUAUCCAAUCCUCUACAGCCUUUACAAAGAACUAACUCUUUUAAAAUUCCAACUCUUUGAUUCAAAACCUACCAAAAUAAAUUAAUAUUUUACCACUUAAUUAUGUUCUGAAGAUGAAGUUGACAAGGAAAACCAUUACCAACAACGUGACAGGUGGAUAUUAGCUUCCUCCCACCGCAUUUGCUCCAAAAAAUAUUUAAUAUUUUCAAUCGGCAGCAUUUGCUUCUAAAGUUGAUCGUCUUUAUUUACAUGUUCAAAUCUUCUACACAGCUUCAGAUCCACAAUAUCAAUAUACUAGAAUCCCUACUUCCACUUCCAUACAAUCCACUAUGGAUUCAUUUACACACAAAUAAGCAUAUGCAUCACGCCAGUGAAUUGGUGUUACAUUUGAAAACAAGAUGGAGAAUUACUCAAUCAACUUUCAUUCAUUCUUUCAUGCCCAAGGAACUUUGGAUGAUGAGUUUUUGAAUUGCCCAUUGAAAAGUUUUUGAAUCGUCUGGAGUCUUUUGAGCAUUGAGAAGGUGUAUAAAGUUUCUUUUAUCUAAUCUGUCCUGUAUGUAUAUGGGUGGCACCCCCUUCUAAUGCUCUUGUCCAGUAAGGUUUUAAAGCUGCUUAUUAAUUUAAAAUAAAAUAAAAAAAGAACGAACACCUAGGAAGAAAUUGGCCAUAAUUUAAUCUCAACCAACUUGCAUUAUACAUCCCCAAAUCUGUAUACAUCUGCCUUCAUUGGCUGAAUUACUAUCCAAAAAGGCACCAUUGAAGUUUUCCAUUCAAAUUUAAAGUAUUGGACCAUAUGAUAUGAAAUACACACUCUUGUUAGUUAUAAUUAAGUCAGUGCACCUCCCAUGAUUAAGCUGGUACAAUGCUUACAUUUAGUGCCCAUAUUUUUACCAAGUUUCAAUUAAUUCCAAAUAAUUAUACCUUAAGCAUAUUACUACAUUACUUUUCUUACACAACCCGGUUAAGACUCGCAUGUUCAUUAACACAAUUACGUCCACUUUUAAUAUUCAAUGCUAACAGCCAAGCCAGACCACAUCAGAUUAUUCUGGCAAGGAGGGCAACUAAAGGCUGCAGAGAAUAUCAUACUUGUGACGGACAGAAAAAUACUAUACAGCAAGCCAGAUGGGAGUCCAUCUUCAGUGCAGUAUGAAGUUUUGGAAUUCCACCAAAACUUCAUAUAGAAAAUUACAGAUUAGGCCAAUUAAAGUAGCGGAAUAACACCCCUACAUUACCCACAUGCACCCAAUAUAUACCUAUUCUGAUCAAGUUCUACAAAAGGCAACAUGAGUUCUAUAUUUAAUAAUGCUCAUCGACUCUCCUAUACUGAACAUUGGCUUCAAAUACAACUGAAUGGAUAGGCACACAGUAGUAGAGACAAAACUAAUAUUAUUUUUGGCUCAAAUAUUAUUCCGUGGAUUCAUAUGUGAGUCUAUGACCAGCAUAAGUCAACAAAUUUGUAGAAGAUCAAACCACAUCACUAAUGUAGAAAGAUAAUUUAGUAACACUUGGUAUGCCAUGGCUAAAAGCAUUUUCAGUUUUAUCUUCAAGUAAAAAGAGUUGCUCAAAUGGGGAAUGGAUUUGUCCAACCAAACUCAUACAUCGCUAAAUGUACCUCAACCCAGGGAAUACUACUACUAAAUGACCAAAAAGGUAAACAAAUCAGGGUGUCAGCAGUCAACAACAAAUAGAAACCCAAAAUGGCUAUCAGAUACAACAAAUUGAACUUAAAAAAAAAGUAAAGAAAUACAAAAAAAAAAUGACAACUGAUAUGAUCAUCAACCAUACAAACGCAAAAAAAAAAAAAUAACAAAAAUCCAGUCUCCUGGAAUUCUGUCUAUUUGGAUAAUUGGAUAUGUAUCUACAACAAAUACAUAUCACGAGAACACCAAUUUGGUGUCUCCGUAUCUGAAGGGAUGAAAGGUUUUUUCCAUGCCCAAAUUGUGCCUCUAUACAACUGCCUUAGUUAUUCAAUUCAAUUUUUAUAAUUGCUUCCGUUGUUGUUUUUCCAUAUCUCCUUCGUCUGCUUCAAUUGGAAUUGAAACAAUUACGGUUUGAUUUCGAAGAUCCAUAGCAGAUGGAUAUACUCAUCUUCUAUUAUGCAUACAUAGACAAUAUCAAAAAUCUGACAGAACUAAAUGAACUGACCGUGAUAACUCCAAAUAUAAAGAAUGAGAUAAACCCCUUCAAUUAACCAUCAUACCUCACUACACAAUGCGAACAUUCUCAAAAGAAACCAUCGAUCAACAAAAAAAUCAAAUUAAGGAGUAGAUAUAUAAAGGGAGAACCCCAGUUUGGUGUCGACCUUAUGAAGCUGUGAAACAUUUUUUCCAUACCCAAAUUGCCCCUAGACAACUGUCUUAUUUUUUACAAUUGCUUCAGUUAUGCUUUUUUCCUUUAUCUGCUUCAUCCGUUCAAUUGGAAUUGUGAACAAUUGCGGUCUGAUUUUAAGAUUCAUGGCAGAUGGAUGUACGAGAAGACAGUGAGAAUCCAAAACUAAAAGACCUGAUAAACCCCUUCUGCUAACCAUAGUACCUUGAAUCGUUACACAUAGAAGAAAAAUCCCAAAAGAAACCGUUGAUCAACCAAAAAUACAAAUUAACAUGAAAAAAAUACACACAAUGAUCACGAAUUUGAUGAAGAAUCUAACCAGAACAACUACCAAACGAAGGCACGUAAAACAAAUAGAUUAAGAACAGUUAAAUUUUAUAGUAAGAGGAAUCGCUACACGAAGAAGAUGAUUCAGAGAAGAAACCAUUGAUCAACAAAAAUCAAAUUACGUUAGAAAUAUGCAAUUGUCCAAAAUUCGAUGAUAUAGGGGGGGGGGGGGGGGGGGGGGGGGGGGGGUGAACGAGAACAACUAUCAAGCAAAGGCACAUAAAAAGAUUAAAUUAAAACCCAUGGAACUUUACAGCAAAAGUCAAUGAAACGAUGAUCGACGAAGAUUGUGAAGAUUUUGAGGCGAAAUCAUACCUUUGUAAGUCGAUCGGAGGCCGAUCACCCGUAAACAAUCAAUCCGAUAUGCGUAUGGAUAUAGAUUUGUAUUCUUAGAGAGAGAGAGAGAAUGUUGCUUCUGGGAGGAGACGGUGGAAUGAUAUAGGGGUUGCGUUGGGUGCUUUGUUUGCAAAAUUUGUAUGGGCCGCCCACCAUGACCUGAAACUGUAUGUAUCGUGUGCGUAUAACUCUCCGGUGCGUAGACAUGGGGGUAAAUUUCAC